rnacentral:snRNA from 1 species
CUGCUUUGGCAGCAUAUAUAUUAAAUUUGAAUGAUACAGAGAAGAUUAGCAUAGUGCAUUGCAAGGAUGACACACAAAUUCAUAAAGCAUUCCUUAAAAAA